CCAAUAGCGUAUAUUAAAGUUGUUGCAGUUAAAAAGCUCGUAGUUGAACUUCGGGUUCUACCCAUUGGUCAGGCUUAAUUGUCUGCACUGGUGGGAUGGAUCUCUACCUUCUGAGGAACUUUCAUGCCAUUUAUUUGGUGUGGUUGGAAAUCAGGACUGUUACUUUGAAAAAAUUAGAGUGUUUAAAGCAGACUAUCGUCUGAAUACAUUAGCAUGGAAUAAUGAAAUAGGACGGACUGAUUCUAUUUCGUUGGUUUCUAUGAUCACCGUAAUGAUUAAUAGGGAUAGUUGGGGGCAUUAGUAUUCAAUUGUCAGAGGUGAAAUUCUUGGAUUUAUUGAAGACUAACUACUGCGAAAGCAUUUGCCAAGGAUGUUUUCAUUAAUCAAGAACGAAAGUUAGGGGAUCGAAGACGAUCAGAUACCGUCGUAGUCUUAACCAUAAACUAUGCCGACUAGGGAUCGGACGAAGUUAAUUUUAUAAUGACGCGUUCGGCACCUUACG
rnacentral:misc_RNA from 1 species